GACGGAGGGUGCAAGCGUUUGUUCGGAUUGACUGGGCGUAAAGGGCGUGUAGGCGGUCGGCCAAGUCUGAUGUGAAAGCCCGAGGCUCAGCCUCGGAAGUGCGUCGGAAACUAGUCGGCUGGAGCGCGAUAGGGGAGGGUGGAAUUCCUGGUGUAGCGGUGAAAUGCGUAGAUAUCAGGAGGAACACCGGCGGCGAAGGCGGCCCUCUGGAUCGUUGCUGACGCUGAUACGCGAAAGCGUGGGGAGCAAACAGG
rnacentral:rRNA from 1 species